GCCGCCCCUCCGUCAGCGCCUGCUUCUCCAUUACCUGUUCAUUUAGGGGUUUAGACUUUCAGAUAUUUAAAUGUGAUUCAGAGCGGGAGCUGCGAUGUCUGCUUUUGGAUUGGGAGCCGUUUCCACAUCACACAGCCGAUUUCUCCCACUUUUCGCUCUUCGCCUGAAACGCACCUUCAGCUGACCACGGAGAUUCUGAACCUGACCCUCCACGUCAGCGCGGUUCUGGUCCUGACGCCGAACGGUUUUCUCGAGCUGAUCGUACUGACGUUUGGCCAUCGACGUCUCCUUCUGCAGGCGGGUCACUUCCUCCUCCCGCGUCUACACCAGGAAAAAAGUUAUUCAUAUGUAAACACAGAACAAAAAUUACCUUUCCAAUCACUUGGGAA